rnacentral:rRNA from 1 species
UACAGAGGGUGCGAACGUUGCUCGGAAUUACUGGGCGUAAAGCGCGUGUAGGCGGGUUCGUAAGCCAGAUGUGAAAUCCCCAGGCUCAACCUGGGAACUGCAUCUGGAACUGCGAGUCUUGAGUGCCGGAGAGGGUGGCAGAAUUCCUGGUGUAGAGGUGAAAUUCGUAGAUAUCAGGAGGAACACCGGUGGCGAAGGCGGCCACCUGGACGGCAACUGACGCUGAGACGCGAAAGCGUGGGGAGCAAACAGG